rnacentral:rRNA from 1 species
UACAGAGGGGGCAAGCGUUGUUCGGAAUUACUGGGCGUAAAGGGCGCGUAGGCGGCCUGUUAAGUCGAACGUGAAAUCCCCGGGCUCAACCCGGGAACUGCGUCCGAUACUGGCAGGCUUGAAUUCGGGAGAGGGAUGUGGAAUUCCAGGUGUAGCGGUGAAAUGCGUAGAUAUCUGGAGGAACACCCGUGGCGAAAGCGGCUUACUGGGUCUUUUCUGACGCUGAGGCACGAAAGCUAGGGUAGCGAACCGG